AAAAGUAACGGAGGCGCCCAAAGGUUCCCUCAACCUGGUUGGCAAUCAGGUGUCGAGUGUAAGUGCACAAGGGAGCUUGACUGUGAGAGUGACAACUCGAGCAGGGACGAAAGUCGGGACUAGUGAUCCGGCAGUGGCUUGUGGAAGCGCUGUCGCUCAACGGAUAAAAGGUACCUCGGGGAUAACAGGCUGAUCUUGCCCAAGAGUCCAUAUCGACGGCAUGGUUUGGCACCUCGAUGUCGGCUCGUCGCAUCCUGGGGCUGGAGUAGGUCCCAAGGGUUGGGCUGUUCGCCCAUUAAACGCGGUACGUGAGCUGGGUUCAGAACGUCGUGAGACAGUUCGGUCCAUAUCCGGUGCAGGCGUAAGAGCA
rnacentral:rRNA from 1 species